rnacentral:rRNA from 1 species
GAUGAACGCUAGCUACAGGCUUAACACAUGCAAGUCGCGGGGCAGCAUGGGGGUUGCUUGCAAUCCCCGAUGGCGACCGGCGCACGGGUGAGUAACGCGUAUCCAACCUGCCCUUCACCACGGGAUAACCCGGCGAAAGUCGGACUAAUACCGUAUGUUGUCCAUUGACGGCAUCCGAUUUGGACGAAAGGUUUGGCGGUGAAGGAUGGGGAUGCGUCCGAUUGGCUGGACGGCGGGGUGACGGCCCACCGUGGCGACGAUCGGUAGGGGUUCUGAGAGGAAGGUCCCCCACACUGGAACUGAGACACGGUCCAGACUCCUACGGGAGGCAGCAGUGAGGAAUAUUGGUCAAUGGGCGUAAGCCUGAACCAGCCAAGUAGCGUGCAGGAUGACGGCCCUAUGGGUUGUAAACUGCUUUUAUGCGGGGAUAAAGUGGCCCACGUGUGGGUUUUUGCAGGUACCGCAUGAAUAAGAACCGGCUAAUUCCGUG